rnacentral:rRNA from 1 species
UACGUAGGUUGCAAGCGUUAUCCGGAAUUAUUGGGCGUAAAGAGCUCGUAGGCGGUUUGUCGCGUCUGCUGUGAAAACUGGAGGCUCAACCUCCAGCCUGCAGUGGGUACGGGCAAACUAGAGUGCGGUAGGGGAGAUUGGAAUUCCUGGUGUAGCGGUGGAAUGCGCAGAUAUCAGGAGGAACACCGAUGGCGAAGGCAGAUCUCUGGGCCGUAACUGACGCUGAGGAGCGAAAGCAUGGGGAGCGAACAGG